rnacentral:rRNA from 1 species
UACGGAGGGAGCUAGCGUUGUUCGGAAUUACUGGGCGUAAAGCGCACGUAGGCGGCUUUGUAAGUUAGAGGUGAAAAGCCCCGGAGCUCAACUCCGGAAUUGCCUUUAAGACUGCAUCGCUCGAAUCCAGGAGAGGUGAGUGGAAUUCCGAGUGUAGAGGUGAAAAUUCGUAGAUAUUCGGAAGAACACCAGUGGCGAAGGCGGCUCACUGGACUGGUAUUGACGCUGAGGUGCGAAAAGCGUGGGGGAGCAAAACAGG